ensembl:snRNA U6 U6 spliceosomal RNA
GCACUCACUUUGGCAGCACAUAUAUUAAAAUUGGAAGGAUAGAGAAGAUUAGCAUGGCCCUUGUGUAAGGAUGACACACAAAUCUGUGAAGCGUUCCAUAUUUUU